UAAAAGCUUGGUCCUAGCUUUACUGUCAACUUUGAUUAGAUUUAUACAUGCAAGUAUCUGCGCCCCCGUGAGGAUGCCCUAUUGAUUCCAAACCUGGAAAAAAGGAGCCGGUAUCAGGCACAACGCUAGUUAGCCCACAACACCUUGUUUAGCCACACCCCCAAGGGUAUUCAGCAGUAAUAAACAUUAAGCCCUAAGUGAAAACUUGACUUAGUUAGUAUCAAAAGGGUCGGUUAAACUCGUGCCAGCCACCGCGGUUAUACGAGAGACCCAAGUAGACAGAACCCGGCGUAAAGCGUGAUUAAUACACUGUAAUAACUAAAGUCGAACUUCUUCAAAACUGUUAUACGUUUAUGAAGGUAAGAAGCCCACUAACGAAAGUAACUUUAAAUUAUAUGAAUUCACGAAAGCUCUGGAACAAACUGGGAUUAGAUACCCCACUAUGCACAGCCCUAAACAGAAGUAAAUGAAUGUACUUUUACACUCGCCCGGGAACAACGAGCGCUUAGCUUAAAACCCAAAGGACUUGGCGGUGCUUUAAACCCCCCUAGAGGAGCCUGUUCUAGAAUCGAUAAUCCCCGUUAAACCUCACCCCCUCUUGUUCAUCCCCGCCUAUAUACCGCCGUCGUCAGCUUACCCUGUGAAGGACUAAUAGUAAGCAAAAUUGGCAAAGCCCAAUACGUCAGGUCAACGUGUAGCGCACGAGGGGGGAAGAAAUGGGCUACAUUUACUGAGACAGUAAACACGAACCUUGCACUGAAAUAAUGCUUGUAAAGGAGGAUUUAGUAGUAAGAAGAUAACAGAGUGUUCUUCUGAAAACGGCCCUAAAGCGCGCACACACCGCCCGUCACUCUCCCCUACAUCACCCGACUAUUAAUUCAUAAUAUUCUAAAGGAAAAUACAGGGGAGGCAAGUCGUAACAUGGUAAGUGUACCGGAAGGUGUACUUGGAAUAAACCUU
rnacentral:ncRNA from 1 species